CGCGGCCUAUCAGCUUGUUGGUGAGGUAAUGGCUCACCAAGGCGACGACGGGUAGCCGGCCUGAGAGGGUGACCGGCCACACUGGGACUGAGACACGGCCCAGACUCCUACGGGAGGCAGCAGUGGGGAAUAUUGCACAAUGGGCGGAAGCCUGAUGCAGCGACGCCGCGUGAGGGAUGACGGCCUUCGGGUUGUAAACCUCUUUCAGUAGGGAAGAAGCGAAAGUGACGGUACCUGCAGAAGAAGCGCCGGCUAACUACGUGCCAGCAGCCGCGGUAAUACGUAGGGCGCAAGCGUUAUCCGGAAUUAUUGGGCGUAAAGAGCUCGUAGGCGGUUUGUCGCGUCUGCCGUGAAAGUCCGGGGCUCAACUCCGGAUCUGCGGUGGGUACGGGCAGACUAGAGUGAUGUAGGGGAGACUGGAAUUCCUGGUGUAGCGGUGAAAUGCGCAGAUAUCAGGAGGAACACCGAUGGCGAAGGCAGGUCUCUGGGCAUUAACUGACGCUGAGGAGCGAAAGCAUGGGGAGCGAACAGGAUUAGAUACCCUGGUAGUCCAUGCCGUAAACGUUGGGCACUAGGUGUGGGGGACAUUCCACGUUUUCCGCGCCGUAGCUAACGCAUUAAGUGCCCCGCCUGGGGAGUACGG
rnacentral:rRNA from 1 species